rnacentral:rRNA from 1 species
UAGGGAAUCUUCCGCAAUGGACGCAAGUCUGACGGAGCAACGCCGCGUGAGUGAAGAAGGAUUUCGGUUCGUAAAACUCUGUUGUUAGAGAAGAACAGCGCAUAGAGUAACUGUUAUGCGUGUGACGGUAUCUAACCAGAAAGCCACGGCUAACUACGUGCCAGCAGCCGCGGUAAUACGUAGGUGGCAAGCGUUGUCCGGAUUUAUUGGGCGUAAAGCGAGCGCAGGCGGUCAAUUAAGUCUGAUGUGAAAGCCCCCGGCUCAACCGGGGAGGGUCAUUGGAAACUGGUUGACUUUAGUGCAGAAUAGGAGAGUGGAAUUCCAUGUGUAGCGGUGAAAUGCGUAGAUAUAUGGAGGAACACCAGUGGCGAAGGCGACUCUCUGGUCUGUAACUGACGCUGAGGCUCGAAAGCGUGGGUAGCAAACAGG